rnacentral:rRNA from 1 species
AACGAACGCUGGCGGCAUGCCUAACACAUGCAAGUCGAACGAGACCUUCGGGUCUAGUGGCGCACGGGUGCGUAACGCGUGGGAAUCUGCCCUUUGCUUCGGAAUAACAGUUAGAAAUGACUGCUAAUACCGGAUGAUGUCUUCGGACCAAAGAUUUAUCGGCAAAGGAUGAGCCCGCGUAGGAUUAGGUAGUUGGUGGGGUAAAGGCCUACCAAGCCGACGAUCCUUAGCUGGUCUGAGAGGAUGAUCAGCCACACUGGGACUGAGACACGGCCCAGACUCCUACGGGAGGCAGCAGUGGGAAUAUUGGACAAUGGGCGCAAGCCUGAUCCAGCAAUGCCGCGUGAGUGAUGAUGGCCUUGGUCGUAAAGCUCUUUACCAGGGAUGAUAAUAGACAGUACCUGGAGAAUAAGACUCCGGCUAACUCCGUGCCAG